AACGAACGCUGGCGGCAGGCUUAACACAUGCAAGUCGAACGCAUGCCUUCGGGCAUGAGUGGCAGACGGGUGAGUAACGCGUGGGAACCUACCCCUUGGUACGGGAUAGCUCCGGGAAACUGGAGAUAAUACCGUAUGUGUCCUGAGGGACAAAGAUUCAUCGCCAAGGGAUGGGCCCGCGUCGGAUUAGCUAGUUGGUGGGGUAACGGCCUACCAAGGCGACGAUCCGUAGCUGGUCUAAGAGGAUGAUCAGCCACAUUGGGACUGAGACACGGCCCAAACUCCCACGGGAGGCAGCAGUGGGGAAUAUUGGACAAUGGGCGCAAGCCUGAUCCAGCCAUGCCGCGUGAGUGAUGAAGGCCCUAGGGUUGUAAAGCUCUUUCACCGGUGACGAUAAUGACGGUAACCGGAGAAGAAGCCCCGGCUAACUUCGUG
rnacentral:rRNA from 1 species